UGGGGAAUAUUGCACAAUGGGCGAAAGCCUGAUACAGCAACGCCGCGUGAGUGAUGAAGGUCUUCGGAUUGUAAAGCUCUGUCUUUUGGGACGAUAAUGACGGUACCAAAGGAGGAAGCCACGGCUAACUACGUGCCAGCAGCCGCGGUAAUACGUAGGUGGCGAGCGUUGUCCGGAUUUACUGGGCGUAAAGGGUGCGUAGGCGGAUGUUUAAGUGAGAUGUGAAAUACCCGGGCUUAACUUGGGUGCUGCAUUUCAAACUGGAUAUCUAGAGUGCAGGAGAGGAGAAUGGAAUUCCUAGUGUAGCGGUGAAAUGCGUAGAGAUUAGGAAGAACACCAGUGGCGAAGGCGAUUCUCUGGACUGUAACUGACGCUGAGGCACGAAAGCGUGGGUAGCAAACAGGAUUAGAUACCCUGGUAGUCCACGCCGUAAACGAUGAGUACUAGGUGUAGGAGGUAUCGACCCCUUCUGUGCCGCAGUAAACACAUUAAGUACUCCGCCUGGGAAGUACGAUCGCAAGAUUAAA
rnacentral:rRNA from 1 species